UUUGCCACUUGAUAUAUUAUCAAAAUGUGAUUUUACUUUGACAGGUUGUUGUUUGUCUAACCUCAAAAAUGCAUAGAAACUCAGAUCUCUAUUUCUCCUGGAAUUACUGUUGCACCCAGAAACGUAAAGUCUUGUUUUUUAUUUUUUUUAAUCAAUUUUGCGGAAAAUUUUGUACCAGACCUUUUAAACAAUUUGUAAAAAUAUUAUUCGUUUAUUAAUUUAGCACAUAUACUGUGUAUACCACAUAUGAAUGGGUGUAUGAAAUAGUUUCCAGAAAUUUACCACCAGACGUCGUGGUGAAUUGUGCGUUUCCCAAUAGAAAUCUCAGCAAGUUCUUGCAGCAAGAUGUUGCACGAAAAAAUGGAACAUGUCCCAUUAGCUGCGAUAGUCUUGCAAGGCUUUUAAAGGCUUAUUUCCACCAAAAUUCUAGUAAUUAUCUAGUGAUGAAAGAUCUUGCAAGCAUUUCUAUACCGGGGAGACACCGCUUCAGCAAUCAAGAAGACUAGAAAUACAGGAGGACGAAGUCCCUAUCUCGCCUGCACUUAGAGAAGGAUAAGUUAACAGUUAACAUACCAAUAUGUUUACAUUAAACAUACAAAAGUUUAAUGUUAAGAUAUAUAUAUUAACAAUAAACAUAGAUAUCUUAACUGUUAACAUACGUAUGUUUACAGUUAACAUAUGUAUCUUUACGCGGCCAAAUAUUUUGAUGCGCCAGUCUACUUCUUGUCAUCUUUUUUUUUUGACAUUAUAUUGUGAUACUAUUCUAAUUGUAAUAUAAUAUAAUAUGUACUCGUGUUGUCAUAAAUUUAUUUAAAUUUAGUUUUUUUGUAAAUUCAUUCUUAAUUUUACAUUCAAUUUUCAUAUUUACAUACGUAAAUGUCUUCAACUAUCAGCCUAACCUUCAAAUUGUGUCAAUUACAGAUAUCUUAAUAGUUAACAUACGCAUAUUAACUAUUAAGAUACGUAUGUUUAAUGUUAAUAUAUAUAUCAUUGAUGUAAACUUAUCAGCCACCACCCAUUUUAACAUGGCAUAUGUUAACAUUAAACAGGAUAUGUUAACUGUUAACAUAUCCUUCUCUGUGUGUGUAUAUGGAAACCGUAUCGCUAUAUGAUCGCCGCAUAAUUGAGUAGCGCUGCAGUAUUCCGGUAACUAGAGUGGGUAUAAGCAGAGUGGAACCAUAGAUGAUUUUUACCUCGGAAGUGACGGAACCCCCUUAUACCCACUCCAUACGGUGAGCUCGGAAGCGACGAAAAGCUCUUAUACCCACUCCAUACGGCGAGCACAAAAUGUCGGACUAAUGGGACCUCGGUGGCUUCACUCUGCUUAUACACACUCUACCGGUAACUAGAGUAGGUAUAAGCAGAGUGAUGCCAAAGGCUAAAAGCAGCCCCAGCAUCUGUAUUCACGGGGCAAAAUUAUUCUCAUUAGGGCUUUUUUUUUCCGCUGUUGGCGCUUGACAAAUUUUUUUUUAUAUAGAUUUCACAUAGAAAAGCUUCACAAACGCCACCAUCGAAAAAAAAAACGCCCUAAUGAGAACAUCCUCUGAAUACGGGCACCCGUAUUCAGAGGAUGUUCUCAUUAGGGCUUUUUUUUCCGAUGGCGGCGCUUCAAAAACUUUUUGUCAGAGUUCUGUAUGAAUCGUAUUCUAUGACAAGAGAGCUCAUUUUCAUGCUGCCGAGCUAGGGUUCACAUCGAUGUAUAUAUACCUAUACUAUUUAGGACAAUGAUGACAAGAAGUAAAUUUUUUUAAAAAAUUUAUUUGAUAAAAAUACACGUUUAUUUUUUUUUAACACUUAUAAUAAAAAAAAUAUCUUGUUUAAAACCUAAAUUUUUCUAAAAACUGUUGCUCACUCAUAUAUUCAAUAGGAUCAGACAUAUUUCGAAUAUUAUUGUUUAACCUCAUAUUAAUUCAUCUUAAUCUCCCUGGAAUAUUCAUUUAGUCCUUCUCUAUUUCUAUUUUUGUCUGCAACAGUAACAACAAUCAACUUGAAAAUUUGACAGCUUUAUUUGUUUACAUUCUUAAUAGGGUUAUAGUGCUCAAAAUCAUCAAAACAUGUCGUAUAUACAUCGAUGUGAACCCCAGGAUAGCUAUUCUCGACAUAAUUAUCCCCUGUACCGGGGAUAACAUGAAAACGCUCGAAAGCGAUAUAGUCGUUUGAUGGAAACCAUUGAAAAAGAUACAAAUAAAGCCAUAAAUUAAGGUGAAUUUCCACAAAAUAGUUAUCCCAGUCGCCGGGGAUAACUGAAGGGAUAAUUAUGUCGAGAAUAGCUAUCCUACGGAAGCCCGGUCCGGCCAUUAUAAAAUAUUAUACAUGGUGCAGGAAGCGGGGUAAGGGGCAGUAACUUUAAGGCAGGUUUACAAAAAAGCAUCUUUAAUAUUUUCAUGUAAACACAAAAUAUAACCUGAUGUUAUUGUUUAUAUGUCAGUACAACUAACCUCAUAUUCUUGUUAUUAUUUAAUAAAAUAUAGAUAAAAUUUAUUUAUUAAAUUAAUUAAAAUAAAUAAACAAAAAUCUAGAGGUCAACAGAAUUAUAACAAUCACGAUGAAACCUUGGAUAUUUUUGCUGAUUGAUUAUUAAAAGAAGAAAUUGCUGAGAAGAUGUCAACAACACAUUCAAAAAUUCCAAUUACCAUUGACAGUCAGUUGAAAUUGAAAGACAUUGAAUGUAAAUUAUAUUUCGUAUUGUCAUCUGAUAAAAUUUGUAUGGGUGUUCUUGAUGUUGAGAUAUUGUUUUAUUAUAAAGAGUUGCAGUGUCAGGAUGAUAGUAAUUUGUCAUGUAAUAGUUGUGAUGUAAUUGGAGGUGUUUGGAUGACGAUGAAGCUUGUUGAUCUUGGACCUUACAAAAAGACAGAUCUACAAGCUUGGGGUAACAAAAGAAAUAAAAUAAUCAAAUAAUUACAAUAAACAGUAUUUAUUUGGUUUUU
rnacentral:lncRNA from 1 species